UACGUAGGUGGCAAGCGUUAUCCGGAGUUACUGGGCGUAAAGCGCACGCAGGCGGUCUUUUAAGUUUGACGUGAAAGCUCCCGGCUUAACUGGGAGAGGUCGUUGAAGACUGGAAGACUUGAGGCAAUGAGAGGGGUGUAGAAUUCCCGGUGUAGUGGUGGAAUGCGUAGAUAUCGGGGGGAAUACCAGUGGCGAAAGCGGCACCCUAGCGUUAGCCUGACGCUCAUGUGCGAAAGCGUGGGGAGCGAACGGG
rnacentral:rRNA from 1 species